ACACAUGCAGUCGAGCGGUAGAGAGAAGCUUGCUUCUCUUGAGAGCGGCGGACGGGUGAGUAAUGCCUAGGAAUCUGCCUAGUGGUGGGGGAUAACGUUCGGAAACGGACGCUAAUACCGCAUACGUCCUACGGGAGAAAGCGGGGGACCUUCGGGCCUCGCGCCAUUAGAUGAGCCUAGGUCGGAUUAGCUAGUUGGUGAGGUAAUGGCUCACCAAGGCUACGAUCCGUAACUGGUCUGAGAGGAUGAUCAGUCACACUGGAACUGAGACACGGUCCAGACUCCUACGGGAGGCAGCAGUGGGGAAUAUUGGACAAUGGGCGA
rnacentral:rRNA from 1 species